GUUUUAAUAAUUUAACCACAAAAAUAUUGGUCUUGUAAACCAAAAAUAAGGAAAACCUUUUAAAACU
rnacentral:tRNA from 1 species